GGCUCGAUGGCGAAAUUGGUAGACGCCCCAGAUUUAAGCUCUGGUGUCCAGAAAUGGGCGUGUGGGUUCGAAUCCCACUCGGGCUA
rnacentral:tRNA from 1 species